GAGCCGCUCCGGGAGAGCGGUGGACGUGAUGAGUCCAGGAUUCCCAGCUUCCGCUCUCUUGUCGGUUCUGUUCGGGUCGGGUUACUUGUGAAAGGCCGAGAAAGUUGUAUUUAGUUCAAGUCUUGUGAAUCAGAAAGUUUUGGAAACGUGAACCGAAGAGCAUUUGGGGGAGAAAAUAAGGAAAAGGACUCAAAACUCGGAUUGAAGAGAAGUCGUUUAAGGUCGUGGCUUAUUCAUCAAGAGAUGGACUAGGGUUCCUAAAUGGUAGUGCCUUUCUCUUAACCCGUGGUUAUAAAAGUAAGGGCGGUACUGGCGGCGUUAUACAUUUAGAAACGAUCCACUGUCUUUAACCGGUAUCUUUAUAAUGAGCUUUUGUGGGAUAACUAUCAGGGCUCCCCUGAUAGCUCUGUUGGUAAAGGAUCCGCCUGCAAUGCGGGAGACCCCGGUUCGAUCCCUGGGUUGAGAAGAUCCCCUGGAGAAGGGAAAGGCUACCCACUCCAGUAUUCUGGCCUGGAGAAUUCCAUAGACUGUAGAGUCCAUGGAGUCGCAAAGAGUGGGACACGACUGAGCGAUGGGGAAACAAUGACAGUGUGGGACAGCAAAAAAUACGUUGUCCCCAGAAUGGGAGGAGAGUAAGGAAAAUGACAGAUGGAAAGUAAAACUACAGAGAAAAGUUUGACUUUACUGGGAAUGGUGCCACAUUGGAAGACAAAAAUAAGGUGAAAGUAAAAUAUUAAGAGGAAUGAAUGAUACUUCCUGUUCAAGUCUUCCUCCAGUUACAUGAGCUCCAUUUUUAAAGGAACCUCCGUAUAAUACUGUGGCCACCUGAUGCGAAGAGCUGACUCAUUAGAAAAGACCCUGAUGUUGGAAAAGAUUGAAGACAGGAGGAGAAGGGGACGACAGAAGAUGAGAUCGUUGGAUGGUAUCACCGACUCAAUGGGCAUGAGUUUGAGCAAGCUCCAGGAGACGGUGAAGGACAGGGAAGCCUGGUGUGCUGCAGUCCAUAGGGUCGCAAGGAGUCAGACACGACUGAGCGACUAAACAACAAUAACAGACUAUUUUCCAUAGUGGCUGCACCAGUUCACUUUCCUACCAGCUGUAUGGUAGUGUUCCCUUUUCUCCAUACCCUUGCCGGCAUUCAUUAUUUGUAGGCUUUUUGGUGGUGGUCAUUCUGACUGGUGCAAGGUGAUACCUCAUUGUGGUUUUCAUUUGCAUUUUGUCUAAUCGUGAACAAUGCUGAGCAUCUUUUCAUGUGUCUGUUGGCCAUCCUGCAUGUUUUCUUUGGAGAAAUGUCUCUUUGGGUCUUUUGCCCAUUUUUUGAUUGGGUUGUUUGUUUUUGUUACUGAGUUGUAUAAACUGUUUGUAUAUUUUGGAAGUUAACCCCUUGUGAGUCGCAUCAUUUGCAAAUAUUUUUUCCCUGUCCAUAGGCUAUCUUUUUGUUUUGGUUAUAGUUUCCUUUGCUGUGCAAAUGCUUAUGAGUUUAAUUAGAUCCCAUUUGUUUAUUUCUGCUUGCAUUUCUAUUGCCUUGGGAGACUGGCUUAAAAAAGCAUCGCUGUGAUUUAUGUCAGAGAGAGUUUUGCCUGUGUUCUCUUCUCGGAGUUUUAUGUUAUCAUAUCUUAUAUUUAAGCCAUUUUAAAACAGAAUUUUAGAAAAUAUCUUUUGUAUAUUAUUUUGCCUAGCAAUUCCUAGUGUAACUAUCUAUCCUAUUGACGUAAGUGUGCAAAGAUGUAUGUAGAAGGCGUUUGUUAUAACAUUGCUUCUAAUAGUGAAAAAAUGAAAUUAAUAUACAUGGGAUAGACUGGCUAAAUACUCAUCAAUCCUUCUACUUCCUGUGCAAAAAUUCAAACAAUUUUUCCAGUCUUCUUGGUGGACUCCAUGAAUAGUUCUUACCAAUAGAACAUGAGUAAGAGAAAUAAAGUACUUCUAUCCAUGGCAGUGAAAA